rnacentral:rRNA from 1 species
CGUCAAAUCAUCAUGCCCCUUAUGUCUUGGGCUACACACGUGCUACAAUGGCCGGUACAAAGGGAAGCGAAUGCGUAAGCAGGAGCGGAGCCCAAAAAAGCGGUCUCAGUUCGGAUUGUGGGCUGCAACCCGCCCACAUGAAGCCGGAGUUGCUAGUAAUCGCGAAUCAGCAUGUCGCGGUGAAUGCGUUCCCGGGCCUU